AGAACAGAAACAGGUGAACAAACGACGAAAGUCGAGUAUUCCUCCGACGAACUCUGCUGUCCCGGCAGCAGCGCCAAAACCAAUGUCCAAAGGUGGUG
rnacentral:rRNA from 1 species